rnacentral:rRNA from 1 species
GACGAACGCUGGCGGCGUGCUUAACACAUGCAAGUCGAGCGGUAAGGCCCUUUCGGGGGUACACGAGCGGCGAACGGGUGAGUAACACGUGGGUGACCUGCCCUCAGCUCUGGGAUAAGCCUGGGAAACCGGGUCUAAUACCGGAUAUGACUCCAUGACGCAUGUUGUGGGGUGGAAAGCCUUGUGCGGCUGAGGAUGGGCCCGCGGCCUAUCAGCUUGUUGGUGGGGUGAUGGCCUACCAAGGCGACGACGGGUAGCCGGCCUGAGAGGGCGACCGGCCACACUGGGACUGAGACACGGCCCAGACUCCUACGGGAGGCAGCAGUGGGGAAUCUUGCGGAAUGGGCGAAAGCCUGACGCAGCGACGCCGCGUGAGGGAUGACGGCC